AACGAACGCUAGCGGCAGGCUUAACACAUGCAAGUCGAGCGCCCCGCAAGGGGAGCGGCAGACGGGUGAGUAACGCGUGGGAAUCUACCCAUCUCUACGGAAUAACGCAUGGAAACGUGUGCUAAUACCGUAUACGUCCUUCGGGAGCAAGAUUUAUCGGAGAUGGAUGAGCCCGCGUUGGAUUAGCUAGUUGGUGGGGUAAAGGCCUACCAAGGCGACGAUCCAUAGCUGGUCUGAGAGGAUGAUCAGCCACACUGGGACUGAGACACGGCCCAGACUCCUACGGGAGGCAGCAGUGGGGAAUAUUGGACAAUGGGCGCAAGCCUGAUCCAGCCAUGCCGCGUGAGUGAUGAAGGCCCUAGGGUUGUAAAGCUCUUUCACCGGUGAAGAUAAUGACGGUAACCGGAGAAGAAGCCCCGGCUAACUUCGUGCCAGCCGCCGCCGUAAUAC
rnacentral:rRNA from 1 species